GAAAUUUUCAUUCAGUCGUCGUGGACAUUCGAAACGUUGAGGAGUUACCAAACCAAAAACACACACAACAGCGAUUUAGGUGCAUUAAUGUUAAUCUCAACAACAACAACAAAAUGUAAAGAGGCAAAUUCCAACACACUCUCCGCCUAAAAAAGCAAAAGCUCAAAAAAAAGGAAGAGAGAACACCCACAACAACACCCCACCACAACCAACCAACCACCCACUCACACACAACCGGAAAACGGCAUUGGUGGUGUUGUUGUUUUUGUCGUCACUGCAAAUAAAUAGAGUGAACGAAACAAAAAAACACAGCUCAGCUUAGUUUUUUAGACGGCUUGGCUCGUCCAUAAUUCAAAACCAGGUGGAACAUGGUUUGCAUACUGCACGGAUACUACGAUGUUCAUCCAAAGAUGCGUUUCAGUCUCACACCACCUCCACCGAAAGCGUUACACUCAUCGACCAUAACAACGACGGCAACGUCACAACUCAAAUGGAAUAAUAGGAACGGUAGUAGUGCGGCAAUAAAUAAUUACAACAAUAACAACUACAACAACGACAACAGGAGCAGUAGCAGUAGCAACGGAAGCAUCAACCGCAGCAACAGCAACAACUGUGAUAAGUACAGCAACAAAAUGCAACGUCAGGAAGAUACAACCAACUCGAAUAAAGUCAAUGUCAACCAACCGGAAGAUGAUGAGUCCACCUCUGAUUAUAAGCAAUGGCUGCACGCCAUGAAACUGGUGGCACGGCUACCGGGUGGUAUACCACCGGAAUUUCGCAGAAAGCUCUGGCUUUCUUUGGCCGAUAAAUAUUUAAAAUCGAAAAAUGUUGACUGGUCCAAGGAGGAGGAAAAAUGUUUUUGUGAAAAAUGGCGUGAAGAUGACGAGGAGCUGGGCAUACAAAUUGUCAAGGAUCUACACCGUACCGGCUCCACUCUGUGUACUGGGCCGGCUGGUGAUAUCAAUCAGGCGAAGUUGAAGCGUAUAUUGCUUGGCUAUGCUCGCUACAAUCCAGAAGUGGGUUAUUGUCAGGGUUUCAACAUGUUGGGCGCCUUGAUACUCCAAGUAAUGGACAAAGAUGAAACGGAAUCCAUGAAGGUUAUGAUCUAUUUGGUUGAGGGUAUUUUACCGCCUGGUUAUUUCUGCGGGUCCAUGGGUGGUCUGCAGGCCGAUAUGGCGGUGUUUCGUGAGCUAAUGCAAACGAAGUUACCCAAAUUGGCCAGACAUUUGCAAAAGUUGCAGGGUCCCGUGGAGAAUGCCUACGAACCGCCAUUGACAAAUGUUUUUACCAUGCAAUGGUUCCUAACCAUGUUCUGUACAUGUCUGCCCAUGUCGUGUGUGCUGCGGGUCUGGGAUUUGGUCUUAAUUGAGGGUAGUGAUGUCCUGCUGCGUACUGCAUUGGCCUUGUGGAGUCUCUUGGAAGACCGAGUCCUGAGCACCCGCAGUGCCGAUGACUUUUAUGGCAAAAUGGGUUCAUUUUCAAGUGAGCUCUUAAAUGGCCAUCUCAUUGAUUCGAAUGGCUUGAUUGAAAAGGUGGUCCAAUUGGGUCCCAUUCAGGACAUUCAAAAGCUAAGGGAUAAACAUUUGUACAGUGUUUCGCCGCUAAAGAACAAACAGGGGUUGAACCUUUAUUACGAUGACGAGGAACCCGAUAUGGAUGAAGACUCCCGCCUGGCGGUGGCAACGGUUUGGGGUAUUCCUUGGGGUCGCCGGGGUUCCCAGGGCCAAACUUCAGCCAAACAGGCCGCAGAGAGCAAGGAUCGAAUUGCUCUCGACAUUUCUCUGCUGAAAAAGCAAUACGACCGUUUAAGGGAACGCCAAAAGCAGGCUCACAUUAUUCUCACCACUGCCUGUUCAACUGCCCGUCAGACCACAACCAAUAGUGCAGCUACCAUACCCGUCAAUCAAUUGCUAUCUGGUCGACCUGCCAUUGUCACAAAUCGGGGACGCCGCACUGGUCCCCCACCGGGUGCCAUACCACCGGCCAGAAAACCCUCGUUGCCGGCUGUUUUGCAGGACAACAAACCAAUUGGGCGCCAGCUGAGACGUGGUGAAACCCUGCAAUGGCGGGAUAAUGUCACAGAUCCCAAACGGCGACGUGACAGUUUGACAUGGAAAGAAAUUCGAGCCGAGCGAGCGGCCAUGUUGAGCUCGGGUAGCAUUGAUGGGCUCAAGUCGCAAAAAAUACGCACAAAACGUUUGGGCAAAAGUGACUCCUCAUCCUACAGUGAGGAGAGUGAGGAUGAUGAUAAGGCUGCCUCUAGCUCAGACACCAGUCUGUGUGAUGAUGACAAUCCUCCCUCAAAGUCUGCCCGUAAAUAUGCCUCCAAAGCGGCAUUGAUAAAACAAAGGAGAUUGACAGCAGAAUCAGCGGAUACCGCCAAUCGACAAAGACCCAAAUCCUGGGCCCCCUCGAACAGUGAAAUACCCUUUGUCCUAAUGACCACUGAUUCGCCCAGUCACAGUGCCGAUGAAGAAAUGGCCAAGAAAGCAAGUCUUCCGGAAUCGUAUUUGGAGCUUUCCAAAAAACUAGAUGAGGAGGAUGAGGGCGAAGAAGAAGAAGCCGAAAAUAGUGCCACAGAAAGUGAUCAGCUGCAAAUGGGCAAAAUUAAUGGUGCGCCCUAUUCGCCUUUGGCAAAUGAAGACUUGGCCGAUGUGGCUUCCAAAGUACAACCAUUGCUCAUUGAAUCGGAGAGCAUAGCUCCUCCCAGCUCAACGGAUAUUCGACAUAUUCCGGCAGUACCCAUUACCGAUGUGGUGGAUAUUUUGGCAAUAUCAAAAGUUUUGGCAAAUCCUACGGAAUUCAGCAAUGAACCCAUGAACUCAUUAGGCAGUAAUGAGGGAGAGGCAGAGGAAACCAGAUCUUUUGGCGUUAGCGAUGAAGGAGUUACAAAUCAGUAUUUCGAAAGAGUCAACAGCAGCGAGAGACCCACAAAAUUGGAGCUCAUGUAUUCCCUGAAUGAGGAGGAUUCCAUUCGGGAUGCCUACAAGGAUGAAAGCAAGGAUGUGUCAAGAGAUGAUGUUGUAAGGAAAGAGGAAGAUCCCUUGGAAAAAGAAAACCAAAGUCGACGUAUGGAUAUUUUGGUAGAUUAUUCGGAAAAAUCCUCGGCCGCUUGCAUUGCCGAGGCCAAAACGGAAAUCUCCAGCACUUUACAAAAGAGUGAGGUCACCCAGGAGCCGGUUAAGCCUCCAGCCUAUGUUAGCUCAGCGGCCACAAAGCGUAGAGACCCCAGAAGACUUACUCUCACCCGUUCCACAACCAUGGAAAUCGAAGAACGUUAUCAGGCUCUAGAGAAACGUAUGAGCAUGGAAGCCACUUCUAAAUAUGGUUCAGUAACCAAAAAAGAAGACGAGAACCUCGGGGAGGAAGGGAAACAUCAUACCUAUGCCAUGAAUGGUCGAAUUCCUAGUGAAAAACUUGAUGUUGAAACAAAGUCAAUUAAACGAGAGCAAGGAGAAGGUAUACAAAGGGAGCAUUUCCAUUUGCCCAGCUUUCCUAAGUACCCGAUGGAACAUGGUGAAGAUAUUACAAAAAAUAGGCCCAUCUCUGGAUCGUAUGCGAACGGAGAUGGAACUUAUCACAGAUAUCACAUGCCAAGUACCGAACAAAAGAGCAUGGAUUUAGAAGAGUAUGCCACCUAUCAUUCAAGAGAAACUCUGUCUAAGAGAAGAGAAGAUGAAGUGAAAAAUAAAAACCAUGAUCUGGAAGAGUAUCGAUCUAUUCAUUCAAGAGAUCAUCUUUCCCAGAGAGAAGAGGUGAAAUAUGGUAGGCAUGAACCCGAAGAGUAUCGCAGUUAUCACUCAAUGACAAAUGCUCCCAAGAGAGAAGAAGAUAUUAAAUGCAAGAGCUCUAAUGCAGAAGAGUAUAAAUCUCAUCGCCUAAUAGAAAAUCCCUCUCGGAGAAAAGAGCAAGGAGAGGAAGUAUCCAAAUACAAAUCUCAACACCAUGAAACGUACAAAUAUCGACCAUACUCCAAGGAAGACUACUCUCGCUCACGUUACUCAUUUUCCUCUGCAGAACUGCUCAAAGAUCCCAAAAUCUCACGAUCGUAUCACAGCAAUCGCAUCUCUCUCGAUGAAGAGAAACUCUCUUCCUUCUUCGAGGAUGCGGAAAAUCAUCGACCUUAUCCCAUUGAAUCGAAUCGACUUUCACGACUUGAGAGCCAUUACAAAACUCAGUCGAAGUCGUAUGAUAAAACACCACCAUCCAGUAAAAAGCCUGAUCUUCUCAGCGAUGUACAACGAAAACCUGUUAUACCCUCAACUGCCGAUUUAGAAGAGCGUUUCGAAAAUAUGAUAAGAGAUCGUAGUAAACAAGCCUCGGAGGAAGUUAGUGAUUCGGAAAAAGGUCACAGCUCACGUAAAUCACCACCAUCAGCCAGGGAAAAUCCACAACGUGAUUCAAAGAGAGAGGGCAACAAACCCUCACAAUCAAGCAAUAAAAAUGGCGAUGUAGGGUCCCGUGAAGAUAUCACUUCCCAGGGCAAACAAUCGGAUCGGGAAAGUGAAUAUGGGGAAGAAGAGGAUAAUCCCGAGGCCGAGGAAGAGGCCGAAGGUGAAGAGGAAUAUGGGGAGGAGGAAGAAGACAUUCCGGAUGGCAGAGCCAGUAGGGCAUUCAGCAGUGUUCCUAAAUCAAGCACCCGACAAAGAAAAAAGGAGCCACCCGAUAGCGAAGAAAACGAACUCAGCGAAAGGGGAUCAGAGGUGCCGGAUAAGUCACAAAGCCAAGAUCCACUCUCCGAUGAGGAGGAUAGAUCGGUGACUGUUUCAGGGCAUGAUUCUCCAGUAGAAGAUUCAGAACCUGAGCUAGGAGAGGAAGAAGAGGAGGAGGAAGAAGAACCCCAACCUACUCAAUCGAGAAGACAAUCAGAUCUCAAGAUCUCUCGCAGGCCUUCCGAACAGGCCGCAGCCCAUACCACCUCUGCUUCCUCCCGAAGACAAUCCCAAUUAUCAGUUUACUCUCGCCGACAGUCGCAUAGCACAGAUGACCGGGAAAUCGAUGAUCGCCGUUCAUCAAGGGCAUCGCGAAAAUCCCCACCCUCAACGGAGGAGCUGGAAAAACGUUUUGAGGCUUUGGAAAAACAAAUGAGCAUUACUCGAUCCGAGGCAAGUGAAGAUGCACUAGAGGAACACCCUCACCGCUAUAGAGCUGUGGAAUAUGAUGAUCGUCAAAGUCCCGAUGGCUAUUCCGAACUGGAUCAACAACAGCAGCAGCAACAACAGCUUGAAGAUGAUUCUCAGAGAUCUGCUAAUGAAAGCGAGACAGCCGAAGAUGAAGAUGCGGUUCGUGCCAAUCGUAUCAAGGCCAAUGUCAUAGAGGCCAUAGAGGCUUCAGAUGAUGAUGAAGCUUCGGAUACGGGAAGGCAACAACGUAUGGCCGCCAAUGUCAGGGAAGCAAUGCGUAAAUCUAAAGCCACAACCAAGGGAGAUGAGGAGGAGGAGGAGGCUUCGGAGCAAGAGGAACGUACACGCCGUUCAAAUAAACUCAAGUUGGAUGUUUUGGAGGCCAUGAAGUCUGCUCUGCCCUCUCCCGAAGAAGAUUCCCACAGCAUGGCAGCCCAAGUGAAAAAGGCCAUGAAAUCCUCCGCAACACGUCACACCGAGGGCCGAGAGGAGCCCAUGGAGAGGCAACCACGUAGCACCAAGGACGAUUCCAGUAAAAUGGCUUCCAGUGUUAUGGAUGCCAUGAAAUCGGCCGGUGCCAAGCAACAACGUUCCGACAAAAUCAAAGCAAAUAUUAUUUCGGCAAUGAAAUCCUCUGGAGAUCUGGAAUCUCCUCAUAAAGAGGAAAAUCCCGAUGAGGGAGAGGAUGAAAAAUCCAGCAGCAAAAUGGCUAGCAAUGUUAUGGCAGCCAUGAAAUCUUCCAGCAGAUCGGAUAAAAUCAAAGCUGGUAUUAUUGCCUCCAUGAAAGCGGCCACAACACCCGAUGAGCCGGCUGCCGAAACUCCAACAGAGGAACCAACAAGAAAACUAAGUAGAUCGGAGAAAAUUCGCGCUGGCAUAAUUGCCUCAAUGAAAUCGGCAGCAACAACACCCGAUGAGCCAGCCCAAACACCAACCGAGGAAAUGGGCAGAAAGCUGAGCAGAUCGGAAAAAAUAAAGGCGGGAAUUAUUGCCUCUAUGAAAUCCGGUGGUCCGGCAGAUGAACCGGAAGCAGCAACACCCACAGAGGAAACGAAUCAAAAACUUAGCAAAUCGGAUAGGAUUAAGGCGGGAAUUAUUGCCUCAAUGAAAACGGCCACAACACCCGAGGAGCCGGCGCAAACACCCACGGAAGAGAUGGGCAGGAAACAAAGCAGAUCGGACAAAAUCAAAGCAGGCAUAAUUGCCUCAAUGAAGUCGGCUACAACACCCGACGAGCCGGCACAAACUCCCACGGAGGAAAUGGGUCGAAAACUAAGCAGAUCGGAAAAAAUCAAGGCUGGGAUUAUUGCCUCAAUGAAAUCUGGCAGCACUCCCGAUGAACCGGAAGCAGAAACUCCCACAGAGGAGGCUAGUAAAAAGUCUAGCCGUUCGGAUAAAAUCAAGGCUGGAAUCAUUGCUUCCAUGAAAUCUGGUAGCACUCCCGAUGAACCAAAAGCGGAAACUCCUAGCGAGGACUCCGCAAAAAAAAUCAGCAGAUCGGACAGAAUCAAGGCGGGUAUUAUUGCCUCCAUGAAAUCUGCCACAACUCCCGAAGAACCGGAGGCAGAAACUCCCACAGAGGAGGCGAAUAAAAAGUCUAGCCGCUCCGAUAAAAUCAAAGCAGGAAUCAUUGCUUCCAUGAAGUCUGGCAGCACUCCGGAUGAACCCAAAGAAGAAACCCCCACAGAGGAAUCGGCUAAAAAACUUAGCAGAUCUGAUAAAAUUAAAGCUGGCAUCAUUGCUUCCAUGAAAUCUGGCACGACACCCGAAGAGCCAACACCCGAAACUUCCAGUAAAUCUCAAAGAACCCUGGCGUCUCAACCAUCCGAAGACGGUGAGAAAAAGAAACGUUCCAACAAAAUCAAGGCUGAUGUCAUUUCGGCCAUGAAACCGUCAUCGGAUCCUGCGGAGGGAAAGAUGGCCACAAAUGUCAUGGCUGCCAUGAAAUCCUCAGCCCAACACUCGCAGGAGAAGGUUAAGCGGGCCAAUAAAAUUAAAGCUGAUGUCAUUGAGGCAAUGAAACCCCCGGAAGAGACGCAAAAGCAACGCUCCCACAAAAUGGCCACCAAUGUCAUGGAGACCAUGAAAUCGUCGGUCAAACGCAAGGAGGAGUCGGGUGAUAAACCAACCAAACAUCGUCAAUCCCCAGGCGACGAGGAAUCCACGGCCAAACAAAAGAGGUCCCAGAAAAUCAAGGCAGAUGUUAUUGAUGCCAUGAAAUCCUCCACCCAAACACCUGAGGAACGUUCCACCAAAAUGGCCACUAAUGUCAUGGAAACCAUGAAAUCUCGCCGCACCGCUGCCGAAACAAGUUCGAAGCAAAAAACAAAGACUGCCGAGGUGGCGGAGAAAAAAGCGGCAACAAAAAUCUCACCAACAUCUUCUGCAGCCAGCAGUCGUCGCUCCUCGGAACCUCCUUCCACGGAGGAUUUGGAAAAACGUUAUGAAGUUCUGAAACGACGCAUGAGCUCACGCAAGGAUUCCCUGCAUGAGUCACAGUCGCAGGUGAAACCCAAAACCUCGCCACCCUCAACCGACUCUCUGGAGAGGCGCUUUGAAAAGUUGCAAAGCAACAAAACAAUCUCUGCCGACAGCAAAGAGAAGAAAUCGAAAGUCAGCGAAAGCCCCAAGGCCAUACCCAGCCCUCCAACUCCACCCAAAGACUGGUCCGAGACGGAGCAAUCAAGUCCCAGUCAAGAACCCAGUACUCGUUCAGCUCUCAUCGAAGAACUCCAGGCGAAAAUGGGUCCCACACCCAAUGGCGAGAAUAUCAAGCCCAGCUCCAUUAAUCCCAAUCGGAAAACGCCAGCCUUGCUGCGCAAAUCCAAAACCGAUGAAACUUCGGAAACACAUGCGAACGCCCACGCCAAUAGUCCAUCGGGAAAACGCUACGAACCGUUGCUCUACACCAACCGAAAGAUGGUUCGUCGUUUUUCCGAUCUACCCUCAAGAGCCGAUCUUGAGAAUCGUUUACAAUUCUUGGAAGAGCAAUUGAAUAGAACUCUAUUGAAGCAACGUCGAGCAAGUGAUUCCGAAGUGGCAUCGACCAGCCACCGCCAUCAACGUCUGCAACCCAUUAAGCCGCUGUCGGCUACCAACCGGCAUGUGGGCAAGUUGGAGUCACGUGUCUUGGAAUUGGAACGACAAUUGGGCGCCAGUGCAAAAUUCAAAUCCACCCUUUCGACAGAGUCACAAGACCAACGUUCGGGACCACUCGAGAACUCCGCUGAACUGAGUUCUUCACAAAUGGACUUGGAGAUAAGGGCUGAUUCGGUCAAUGUUACGGGCAAGGAGUUGGUGCGUUACAACAACUAUGGCGAGCUGCAGGAGCAGGACUUUCAAAGUCCCAUCAAUAUAAGCAUAAAUAUUCAUAUGACUCUAAGCAAAGAGGAGUUGGGGAAGGCGGCCACUCAAUCGCUUACCCGGGCCGAGGAGUUGAGUCGGCGGCUAUUGAUUUUGGAGGAGCAGUUAAAGAAUUCUCAGAGAAUUAUUGCCUCUGCCGUGACGCCUAUUGAUGCCCAAGUCCAGUUGUCUAGGGAGUUGGGUGCACCAAGUGCUCAAAACGAAGCUGAGAUUGUGGUGGAACAAUUGCCUCCGGAAUCGGGCCAACAUAACGAUGAGGGUGAGGAUGAAAUUGUAAUCAACGAAGAAAGCAAAGCAAGUGAGGAAGUAAUAAAGGAAGUACCAAAAGAAACGGAAGAGGUAAGAGAAACACCCAAGGAGGUUGAGGCUGAGGAAGUUAUGCCACCACCAAAAGAGGUAGAAAAAUUGGAAAGCAAAAAGGAAGAUUUGCAAUGCCCAGAUUUGGCUAAGGAAGCCAAGCAGGAAGACCUGCCUACGGAAAAGCCAAGAGAAAAGGAAAUGCCUACUGAACCCCUGGAUAAACCAAUUGCAGAUAAAUCGGAAAGGCCUAGCAAGGAGGAUGACUUCGAUAGACGUCUACAAAUUUUGGAGGAACACAUCAAACAUUCCAAGCCCAUAAAAGCCCCUGAAACACAUGAGCCUAAAAUGGAAAAGGAUAAAGACAAAAUCGAAGCAAAAACUGAAAAGGUAGAAAGGGAAGAAGAAAAGAAAGAGGAAAAGAGUACGGAAAAGGCGGAAGAAAGCAAGGUAGAAAAAGAAAAUGUAAAGGCAAAGGAAAAGGAAAAAGAAACCAAGGAACUAUCCGAAGAAAACCGAAAAGACUCCUCAAAUAAAACAGACAAACCCGAAAUUAAGGAUUCUUCGACCUCCGCUAAACCCAAAGAUGAAAUCCCAAAGACGGAAGAAACUCCUAAACACACAGAAGAAAACAAAGCACAAAUUCCCGAGAAGGCCAUUGGAAACUUGCACGGCACCCAAAUGGUGCCCGUCGAGGUGAAUAAGAAAACCCUAGUCCUCCUACUAGACAAUGAACCCAAAGCUGUUAAAGUACGACGCCUAACUCGUGCCAAUACCGAAGAGUUGGAAGAUCUAUUCCAGGCUCUCGAAAAACAGCUACUCGAACGUGGCCAAAUCAAACCCGAAGAUGUGGGAGCAAAAGAUCAAAAAUCUGCCCAAGAAAUGGCCGAUUUAACCAAGGAAAUAAUGCAGUUCUCCAAAACGGCCAAAGAAGAGGCAGCCACAGCCGAAACAUCGCCCAAAAAGAAAGCAAUCUCGAAGCCUCCCGAAGAAGACUUCGAUUGGGGCAAGGAUCCCGUGAAACAUCAUUUGCGCAAGAAAACUGUCUAUCUACCCUCGACAAGGGAAUUGGAGUCGCGUUUUCGUUCCUUGGAGCGGCAGAUCAAAAUGCUCGAAGAUGUCGAGAAAAUCGAUGUGGAGCAACGUCUUACGGAGAUUGAAAGGAAAAUCAAGUUGCAGUAUUCGUUGUCACAUGAAAAGGAUUUGAAUCGUUUCCUUGAUCUGUGUGAGGGUAAGGGUCUGGAUGACAUACCUCCGGUGGGUAGUGGAGAAACACCCGGAUCCGAGCGUUGUUCCUCCUCACAGAGUCAACACCAACAGCAGCAGCAACAUUCUUGUACAACUCACACCAAGAAACAUCAAUCCCCCGUUCGUUUUGCCGAACCCGAAUGCUGUGAUCAUCAUUGCCAUUGCACUGCCACUGCGGUGGCCAAGAAAAAAGAACAUCAAUCCCCAGUCAGGAGUGGUGGAAGCCCCCAGCAUAGCGCCAGCAAACCAACAACCGAAGAUUUGGAAUAUCGUUUUCGUGCCCUGGAUUUGAAUCGAAAAUCCAGGCCUCGAACCAAGGCCGAACCCAAACGGGAACCCAUACACCCCCUGGAAAUGCUACUCGAUCCCAGCCCCGAGGAUAUACCAACCACCGGAGAACUGGAGCAUCGCAUGAAAAUGUUGGAGGAGGGACGCACACCCUCCCCCGCUGCCCUAAAAUCCCAUUCCAAAUCACCCGUAGCCAGCCAGCGGGAAGCCAGUGGCCAGCAGCAGCAGGUAAAUGAACAACCCAGCAGCCCAAGCGGUCUACCAACUGCCCAACAGUUGGAAGCCCGUUUAGAGGCUCUCGAAAGGGAACAACGAUUCGAUUUCAAAAUGCAGAAAAACUACAAAGAAUUCAAUCAGAAAUUGAAAGACAUUAUAUCGCCCUCGCUGUCGUUUGAAGAAUUUCGCGCUACUCGUUCAUCAUCGGCAGAAUCGGCCAAACGCAAUCUGAGCAGCCAUCGUUCGCCAUCGCCCAAAGUUGCAGUAGCUCAGUGUACCGGAGAUGCUGCAACUUGCCCCAACAAAACCAUACGAUUUCAUGAUGAUGAUGAGCAGCCGUCGGCGUCACAGCAUCAUCAAUCGCAGGCGAGGACACGAGGUCACGACAGUGAAUCCAUGAAAACCAUUACAGAUACGCUUGGCGCAACGACAACACUACCAUCGGUGCCACCGCAUUUAGCCAGUUCGGUGCAGGAAGGCCUAGGUGUCAUGGGAAUUCGUUUGAUGAGGGAAACAUCACCUCUACGCCGCAAGGGAACCCACACCGGUGUACCUUUGCGCACCGGCGAAAACAUCAAUGACCAGCUGACAUCGAUCAGGUCAACCAUUAAAUCCAUCGACAGCCUGUGUGAAGAGAAGCCGUAUCGCACCGAACGAUGCCUACAGUAUAUCGAUUCCUUGUGUUCAGAUUCCAACUAUUUCGCCAGUAAAAAAUCAUCCUACGACGAUUUGAGAUCACGCCACAGCAGCCGUUCCCGUUCUCGAGAUCCCUAUGGCGGACCCUCAAUACGAAUUUCCGAUCAAAGUUCAGCCUAUAUGCGCACCAUGGGAUCCGCUGACUCCAUACGUUCUUCCAGUCCCCUCAGGGCCACCAGUCCGUCACUGCAAUACCAUUCGAAUCGUGAUCUGAGACGGGAAAUAUCACCGCGUCGCCGACGCACCGACGAGGAUCGUGAAGAGAACGAGAGUAGGCUCACUAAGUCCAAGUAGCCAUAGUUUAACUAAGUUUCAUAAAGUAGAUAGCCAACUAAUUGCAACUAAUGACGAUGUCGAUUGUAUCGAUGUCGAGAUCCAACAAAUUUACGGACAAGCGACAACGACGACCGCCACAAGCACAGCAGCAAUGUCAAUUCAGGACACAAAUAACACAAAUACCUCCUCUUCCACAAACGCCAACAACCACACACAACUGAACACCACAACACCGGGGGCCACCUUCGGUUUGGAUCGGCCCAUAUCAGCGUACCGCCAGUUAGGUAUUUCGCGGUCCAAUACACCCGUCUACACCCCGGCCAAACUAGAGAUACGCCACACCACAGUGACAUCGACAUUUUACGAUCGCGUUCUAACCGAAAAACAAUUAGAAAAGAAACAUUCCCAGAACAGCAUUACGGCCACGAGUAACGGCACGACCACAACCGCUAAUGGCAGCACAACUGCAACAACUAUAGCCCCAACAACAACAAGUGCCCAAAGAUCACCAAUGCUUGAACAACCACCUGUGCUUGUAAAACCCUUGGAUAUUUUAAGUCCAGCUAAGUUUUCCGUUUCUGAAACAACGACAUCCGUUACGGUAACAGGGACAGUAGCAGCAGCAGCAACAUCCGAAGCUGCUCCUGCUCUGCCACCAUAUGCUGCUUUUGUUGGUAUUGACUCCACUUCUCUGACUGAUUCUCUUCCCACUAUCAGCUCUCUGCCACCUGCUGCUGUCAUUACAACAGACAUUGGCUCGCUCCCAGUAAAAGAAAAGUAGAAACCAAGUAGCUAAACAUAGAAAGCAACCACAAAAUAUAAACGCAAAGACGAAACGCAAAUGAUGGAUGAAAAUUUACAAAACCAAAAUAUAAAACAAAAUGUGCUUUAAUUCGACAAAAAUUCGAUAAUGAAAUGGAAACCAAAGAAAUUUGAUUUUAAAAUCAAAGCAAAACUUAAAACCAAAAAAAAAAAAUUGUAAAUUGUAAUUUUUAUCCCAAAACAGAAAAAAAAAGAAAUUAAAACUAUGUUCAAUUAAAAAAAAAUAAAAAAAACAAAGUUUUAGAAUCUGCAAAAUUUCACUAUGUGCAGGAUGUUUCAAAAUGAGUGAUGAAAACAGAGAAACUGGAGGAAGAACCUGUCUCUUCUCACCCUAAAAGAUCUGUAGAAUGUCUUUUAUCCAUUGAAGACUUUUGGAUAAAAGACUUGUAUCCGUAGAAGGCCUUCUUUUAAUUGAAGGCCUAUAGAAGUUUUUUUUAUUCAUAGAAGUCAUAAAGAAGGUCUUCUAUCCCUCUGAAGACCCUUUUAUAGGUCUUCUAUGGAUAGAAGACCCGUUUAUAGAUCUUCCAUGAAAAGAAGACCACUUGUAGAAUACAUAUUAAAAGACUUCUAUCCAUACAAGAGCUAUAGGAGGUACUUCUAUAAGAAGAGGAUAAAAGCGCUCCUACCGUUCUGACAUUUAUAGAAAAUCUUCUAUAGAUAGAGGACAUUCCAUAGGUCUUCUAUGGAUAGAUGACCUUCUAUAGGUCUUCUAUGAAAAAUAUAGAAAAUCUACUAUCCAUACAAAAACCCAUAUACGGAUAGAAGACCUUCUAUAAAUCUUCUAUGGAUUGGAGACCUUCUAUAGGUAUUCUAGGGAUAGAAACUCUUUCUAUAGUUCUUCAAUGAAUAGAACACCUUUAAAAGAUAUUUUAUUAGUAGAUGACCUUUUAUAGGGUUUCUGUUGAUCUUCUAUAAGUCUUCUAUGGAUUGAAGAUAAAAGACCUUCUAUAGGGGUUCUAUGGGUGAAAGACCUUUUAUAGACCUUCUAUGGAGGAUAUAAAAGAUCUUAUAUCCAUAGAAGACCUACAGGAGAUCUUCUAUUCAUAGAAAGUCUUCUACACAUAGAAGACCACUAGAAAGUCUUCUUUUCAUGCAAUACCUAUAGAAGGUCUUCACUCCAUAGAGUGAAAGGCUUUUGUCCAUAGAAAACAUUGCAUGAACAGCAGAACGGUAGGGGGUCCUCUAUCCAUAGAAGACCUAUAUAAAAUCAGCUUUCAACUAAAAGCAUCUAAAAGGACUCUUAUCUACAGAUAGAUAGAAGAUAGAAGACCUAGGGGUUCUAUGGGUGAAAGGCAUUCUAUAGACCUUCUUUGGAAGAUAUAAAAGAUCUUCUAUCCAUAGAAGACCAACAGAAGGUCUAUUCAUAGAAGGUCUCCUACACAUACAAUACCUAUAAAAGGUCUUCACUCCAUAGAGUGAAAGGCUUUUGUCCAUAGAAAACCUUGCAUGAACAGCAAAACGGUAGGGUGUCUUCUAUCCAUAGAAGACCUAUAUAAGAUCAGCUUUCAACUAAAAGCAUCUUAAAGAUCUCUUAUCUACAGAAUUUCUAUAGGAGGACCUACUAUCCAUAGAAGAUCUACUAUCCAUAGAAGACCUAUCUUUUGGUAAAAGACCAACUAUAAGUCUUCUAUGGAUAGAAGACCCUCCAUAGAUAUUCUAAGGAUAGAAGACCUUUAAGUGGUAGAGGACAUUGUAUGGGGUUUCUAUUGAUAGAUGACCUUCUAUAGGUCUUCUAUGGAUAGAGGACCUCCUAUAGGUUGGUAUUUUUUUUUUUUCUAUGGAAGAUACAGAAGAUCUACUAUCCAUAGAAGAUUUAUUUAUGUAUAGAAUACCUUCUAUAAGUCCUCUAUGGAUAGAAGACUUUUAAGGGUCUUUUAAUGGUAGAUGAUCUUAUAUAGGUUUUCUAUUGAUAGAGGACCUUCAAUAGGUCUUCUAUGGAUAGAGGAACAUCUAUAGGUCUUCUAUGGAUAGAUGACCUAUAGGUGUUCUAUGGAAGAUAGGGAAAGAUUUUCUAUCCACAGAAAACCAACAGAAGGUCUUCUAUACAUGGAAGAUCUAUAAAAGGUCGCCACCAAAUAAAUACCUAUAGGAAGGCUUCUAUCCAUAGAAGACCUUCCAUGAACCGCAGAUCGAUAGGAGUUCUUCUAUCCUUAGUAGACCUAUAUAAAAUCUGCUUUCAAUUAAAAACAUCUUAAAGAUAUCUUAUCUACAGAGGACCUUGUAUGGGAUUUCUAUUGAUAGAGGACCUUCUAUAGGUCGGUCUUUUAUGGGUGAAAAGACUUCUAUAGACCUUCUAUGGAAGAUCUACUAUGCAUAAAAGAUUUAUUUAUAUAUAGAAUACCUUAUAUAAGUCCUCUAUUGAUAGAAGACUUCUAAGGGUCUUUUAUUGGUAGAUUAUCUUAUAUAGGGUUUCUAUUGAUAGAGGACCUUCUAUAGGUCUUCUAUGGAUAGAUGACUUUCUAUAGGUCUUCUGUGGAUAGAAGAACAUCUAUAGGUCUUCUAUGGAUAGAGGAACUUCUAAAGGUCUUCAAUGGAUAGAUGACCUUAUAUAGGUCUUCUAUGGAAGAUAGAGAAAUUUUCUAUCCAUAGGAGACCAACAGAAGGUCUUCUAUAAAUGGAAAACCUAUAGAAGAUAUUUACUCCAUAGAAAACCUAUUGGAAGGCUUCCAUAGAAGACAUUCCAUGAACAGUAGGAGGUCUAUUUUCUUAGAAGACCUAUAUAAGAUCUGCUUUCAACUAAAAACAUCUUAAAGGUCUCUUAACUACAGAAUCUCUAUGGGAGGUCCUUUCCACAAAAAAAAAAAACUUUUCAUUUCAAACUUGAAAUUUUCUUCAAACUCCGAAUUCAUUUUGAAACACCCUGUAUAUACCCCUCAUAUAUAUACUAAUAUAUACUCUACAUUCUAGACAAUUUUUUAGUUAAAUUCUAACUCCCCAAUACCCUUCAACUUUACAGUAUUUAAUUUUAUUUAUUAUUAAAGACAUGCAAGAUAUAUGACUUAAAUUAUUGUAUUUAUUAAUAAUUUUUAUUAAGAUUAAUUAUUGCAGUUGUUACAAAAAAAAAAAAAAAUACAGAAAAUUCUAAUAGAAAAAAAUGAAACUGAAAAGAAAUUUAAUUUAAAUGUUAUACUCUCUUAAUGAUAUAUAUUAUAUAUACAAACAAACAAAUGAAAAAAUGCAAUUGCAAAAAUAUAUAGCUAAAAAAUUAUAUUAUUAUAAUUAAAACAAAAUAACAUGAAAAAAAAA